AUACAGGGGAGCUUGUGUGCAGGCUGAGAGGAAGUUAUCAACUUCGACCCUUUACCUGAUUCGGAUAAUGCCGGCGUAGGGAGUCAUA
rnacentral:ncRNA from 1 species